rnacentral:rRNA from 1 species
CCUACGGGGCGCUGCAGUGGGGAAUAUUGCACAAUGGGCGCAAGCCUGAUGCAGCCAUGCCGCGUGUGUGAAGAAGGCCUUCGGGUUGUAAAGCACUUUCAGCGGGGGGGAAGGCGGUGAGGUUAAUAACCUCAUCGAUUGACGUUACCCGCAGAAGAAGCACCGGCUAACUCCGUGCCAGCAGCCGCGGUAAUACGGAGGGUGCAAGCGUUAAUCGGAAUUACUGGGCGUAAAGCGCACGCAGGCGGUCUGUCAAGUCGGAUGUGAAAUCCCCGGGCUCAACCUGGGAACUGCAUUCGAAACUGGCAGGCUAGAGUCUUGUAGAGGGGGGUAGAAUUCCAGGUGUAGCGGUGAAAUGCGUAGAGAUCUGGAGGAAUACCGGUGGCGAAGGCGGCCCCCUGGACAAAGACUGACGCUCAGGUGCGAAAGCGUGGGGAGCAAACAGGAUUAGAUACCCGGGUAGUC